rnacentral:rRNA from 1 species
AUUGAACGCUGGCGGCAGGCCUAACACAUGCAAGUCGAACGAGGGGCGGAAGGGUGAGUAAUGUCUGGGAAACAGCCCGAUGGAGGGGGAUAACAACUGGAAACGGUAGCUAAUACAGCAUACCAUCGGAGGUGCCCAGAGGGGAUUAGCUAGUAGGUGGGGUAACGCCUCACCAAGGCGACGGUCCCUAGCUGGGCUGAGAGGAUGACCAGCCAACCUGGAACUGAGCCACGGUCCCGCCUCCUCCGGGAGGCAACAGUGGGGAAUAUUGCACUAUGGGCGCAAGCCUGAUGCAGCCAUGCCGCUGGUAUGAAGAAGGCCUUCGGGUUGUAGAGUACUUUCAGCGUGGAGGCGUUACCCGCAGAAGACGCACCGGCUAACUCCGUGCCAGCCGCCGCGGUAAUAC